rnacentral:lncRNA from 1 species
AAGAACCCUAACAUGGUUGAAACCAUCAUCGAUCUUUUCGAUCUCAGAAAAAUCCCAAAUUUCGUUCAAAAAAUAGUUCAGAUGAACUAUUGAUUCGCACGAUAAUAUCACCGGAUCAUUGUACCAGCUCUGAUACCAUGAAAACAUACAGAAUAUCGGAAGAAAUUUAGAGAGAGAAAGUAGAGAGAAGGGAGAGCAUCGUGGAGUCUUGAAGAAGACUCAAAGUCUUUCAAUCAGAAAAAUGACCCGCUGUCUCAGACAAAUGACCCCUACCCCUAUAUCAAAAUGACCCCUUACAAUAAUAGCCUAUUUACAUGACAUAGC